CGUCGGGGUCUCGGCAUCUCCCUUUCUCCGCUGCGCCCAGAAACUUCCUUUCCGGGGAAUGUGGAGGCUCCUUCCCGCCUCUCCCCGGGGGCGUGAGGCCCGGGCGCGCUGCUGCUGCUGUGCGCGCGCGUCUGUGCCUGUGUGCGCGCGUUUGUGUGUGCCUGUGUGGGUGCGUGUGUUUGUGUGUCCAUGUGUGGGUGCGUGUGUAUGCGCAUGCGUUUGUGGGUGCCUGUGUGGGUGCGUAUUUGUGUGUAGAUGCAUGUGUGCGCGCGUGUGUUAUCUGUGUGUGUGCAUGUGUGCGUUCGUGUGUGCUGGUGGGCGUUCUGGUUGAGGGCUCCUGCGGGGCGGGGAGACCCCGGACCCACCGGCACCAAGUCCCCUUUCACUGAGAAGUGGCGGGCGACCUGGUGGCCGCCCGGGCCUGCGAGGCUGCGGUUUUUCUCUGGGCUUCAGCAGCUUCUGAAGUGGGCUCCGGGAGGCGUUUCCGGAGAGGAGGCUGUGUCUGGACUUCUGGUUUAUCUGGAGGGAUCUGCUUUUCCCUGGUUGUUUUAUUUUGGGAGAGUGAUGUGGAUAUCCUCCCCCUCCCCCAGAGCAAGACCGUUUCCUGGAGUGACUGUUCCAUAUUCAUGCCCUGAGGGCGCUGGACCACAGCGCGGUUCAGACUGGAGAGGCUCCCAGGGCCUGCAGGGCCCCGGUCCCCACGGUCCUUCUCCCCCACUGAGCCGCACUCCGCAGCCGGCCUCUUCCCGUGUGAAGAGGCCUCCGGAACGGGCUGAGUGUCAGUUGUUGAUGACAUUUGAUGCUGCCGGAGGCAUUCCAGCUCCUCUAAACCAGCGGGCUGUUUCCUGUCGGCUUUAUUUUGGUUUGCGGAUCAUCGCUGAGACACUGUCUUGAUAUUUGGCCCAGAAGCUCUGCAGCUAGGAUGUGGCAGCACUUCCGCUUUGAGUAGCCCAGAGACGAGGGAUUUCUUUUGUCAAAAUGUGGUUUAAAUCUGCUGUCACUUUCACACAAGAAAGCCAGGGUUGGUGCUCCCUGAAGUGUCUGAGGUCGCCUUGCCGUGGGUGGGGAAAGGUCACGGCCCGUGGGGGUCAGUUUGCUGCUCUUUCCUUCGGCCAAGGCUGCUUGGCUCAGCGAGCGAGUCCAAGAGGUGUGAGAAGCACUGGGCUUCCUCAGUCACGGGGGCAGGAGGGCUGCAGGUGGGUGCCCCUGUGGGGCAGUGCCAGGUCUCCAAGCAGCAGGGAGAAGUGGCCUGGGCUUUGCGGCUCGGGGGUGGGGAGCCCACAGCUGGCACAGCAUGCUCGCUGUUUACUCCAGGAAGGGCUAUGCUUCAGUCCACAGGACCUUACAGAAGGCAUGGGAAGUAAAACAGGAGGGCAAGGGAAGACCACAGUCGCAGACGAGACACUCAGACCCUGAGUGUCCCAGAGGGCAGCUUCCCCGGCAUGUGGGCACUCGGCCCCACUUCCGACAGGCGUGGGGGUCAGGCACCCCUGGAGGAUCCCUCAGAGAGAAGGAGGUUUGGAGAUGCCGCUGCUUGGUCAGGCUCUGUGCUCCACUUUAAACAAGUCAGUGAAACCCUGGCUCAGCUGAGGCUUACGCUGCUAAUCCUGCGUGGGGCCUGGAUAUUAUCUGAACCUUUGACCCUCCCAGGGGCAGCAGCAGUGAGGACGGGUGGAGAGGCCCAAAUGCCAGCUGCCCGACUCUCUGGAUGUGGCUCCAGAGAGGAGAAGUCCCCGUUUCUUCUCCCCUCCAGAGGUCACCUGCAGGGCCGGCUGCCUGAGGGGUAUCUGUGCCCCAAGUAGCUGGGGAGACAGGGCACCUCCUGCAUUUGAGCGGAGAUGCAGUCUGGGCUGGAGACCCUGAGGGUGACCUGUGGGUGUGCUGAUUUGGGGUUAGUCUCAUGUCACCGUGCUGCUGGCCUGAUACCCCGGGGCUCCGGGGGAAAGCCCAUCUGUAGAAGCAAAGUGGAGGAUGACCCUGCACGGCGCUGUGCCCGGGGACCACUGAGCUCCUCAGUCUCUUUCUUUAAUCCACAUUCAUGGCCGACCUUGGCUCUGACUUGCCCUGCCUGAGUCCCUGGUCUUGAAGGUGCAGGCAAGACGGUGCCCCUGUGGCUGAUUUGAGGGCCCGUCGCCAUCAUUCACCUCUAAGCCUCGUCUCCCGGCACACGGGAUUUGCGCCCGAGUCUGCCAGUGACUCGCUGCAUGACCCAGGGCCCGUGUCUUCUCCUUCAUAACCUCAUUUUUCUGUUUGUAAAAGGCAAGCAAUUAUUGUUUACUAUAUCCGGUGGGAACGUACAAGGCCGUGUUGUUCAGGCUUAAGUUAACACCCUGCCCCCUCACUCCCAGAACAAGAAUUGUCCCUAAAGUUAUACCGUAAACAGUUCUGCUACUGCGCUAAGAAAAAAAGGCAGCACAUUUUUCGGGGCGAUUUGGAGCUUUUUUUAAGGUAUGGGGCAUUGGCCUUUUACAUUCUUAAAUAGCUUUGAAAUGUGUGGUGGUAUGUGGCCUCAUUCAGAUGCUGAAAUUGGGAGAAAUGGAAAGAAUCUCUUCCUCCUCCCCCCUGCCUCUUUCUUUGUCCUUCCACCUCUUGCACGGAGGUAAUAAGAGGGAGAGCCACGUCCAAGUGAGGUGUUAUGAUGGUAACAAUUUGAGUCUUUGUCUUGAAGAAUCUGGCUUUCUGCCUUUCAGUUUUGUAGAAUCAUUUUGGAUAUGUCCUUCUGCACAUGUAAACAUCUUAAACCCUGUGUCUUUCGAAACAGUCAUUAACCUUUCACAGCGGAGCCUGUGCAUCAUGCAUGACUGCGCCACCCUUCCUAUGUGAUCGCUGCUUUGAGGAAGCCGGUGCUUCUGACUUUCCAUGAGUCAGGGACCCACAGGGAGGGCACUUCCGCCACGGCCAUGGCGUUGUUUUGGGGCCCCCGCCCCCAAGGCGUGCAGUGCCUCCUGCCCUCCCAGUAAUGUUUUCCGUUUCCACAACACUUACUGCUUGUUUUUAAAUGCGGCACCUUAUCUUGAUAAAUGUGUUCAAUAAGGAGCAAUACACAGGGUGUUUCUCUCAAUCUAUUAACAAAAAGAAAAGCCAGCCCUGCGGUCCAGGGUGGGAAAGGCUCUUGCACCGUUGUGAUCCUGCCGUCCCGGCGGCGGUCAGCGUCCUGUGAAUGCUGGCCCACGGCAAGUCUGGCCCAACAUGGAACCGCUGGUGCCUGCAGGCCUGUGGGGCUCUGCGGGCCGGGGGGCCGCCGGCCUCCAGCCCCAGCUAUCGCUCUUCUGAUCACAAACAGAAUCCCGCCUGAAGCAGGAGGAGGUGGCACCGGGUGGCUGCGUGUUGCAGGGGAGUCCCCGAUCUGUGGACUGUUCCAGAGCCCAAGACUAGCUCAGCUGUGCCACUCAGGGAAACACACUGGAAUUCAGAUGAGACAGAUGUUAUUCUGGGAAUAAACUUGGUCCUCUUAGGUCUGUGUGAGAAGAAGACGGUGGACACACGCUGGUGCCUGAACUGUAAUUAAUAAGAAAUUACUGGUGUUCCUCCUCACGUGUGCCUGGUGAUAGGAAGUCAGAAGAGAGUGUUCGAUCACUUGUCGAUCAGUAAGUUCUGAUAACGAAAAGUCUUCCCGUGGAUCUGUGGGGCAGGGCCACACGGGAUUUCUCUGUGGGACUGUUCUCCACCAGCGCUCGUUGUCCAGACCCGGCGAACGGCAUCAACGCCUGGCUGGAGAGAGGAGGGGGCCCUGCCGCUGUGGCGCUGCUGGUUCUCUCGCUGCUGCUGGGGGAUCCUGAGCCAUCACCCCUCAGGGGCGUGAGCAGUGAUGUCUCCAGGACCUGCGUACGGCUUCCUGAAUUCCCCAGCUGGUCCCAUCCGUCUGGAAUCAGUGGCAUUCCUUUCUCUCUUCAUCAUUUCCUGCUCCAUUCAGCACUCCUCGAGUAUUUAGAGAAAGGAUUUCUCAGCAUUUGGACCCAAGAAUGUGUUUAUGGAAAUCCUGAGUGAAAAUAAAAGACUGUG